AGGCCCAUUUCUUAAGACCCUUGAGAAAUGUGACUGAAAUAAUUCUCAGCAUAAAUAUGUCCCAUGCAAUAUUUGGGACAUACUUAUACUAAAAAAUAUUUUUUGUUUAUCUGUAAUUCAAGAAAUAACUUUU
rnacentral:miRNA from 1 species